GUGCACCAGGCGAGAAAACUUUACAAUGUGCGAAAGCACGAUAAGGGAACUCUGAGUGCCUCCUAAGGAGGUUGUUCUGAUGUCUAAAAAGCAACAGAAGUAAGGGCUGGGUAAGACCGGUGCCAGCCGCCGCGGUAACACCGGCAGCCCAAGUGGUAGCCACGUUUAUUGGGUCUAAAGCGUUCGUAGCCGGCCAGGUAAGUUCCUUGGUAAAUUUAGCCGCUUAACGGUUAAGCUUUCGGGGAAUACUGCUUGGCUUGGGACUGGGAGAGGUCAGAGGUACUCCGGGGGUAGGGGUGAAAUCUAUUAAUCCCUGGGGACCACCGGUAGCGAAGGCGUCUGACCAGACCAGGUCCGACGGUGAGGGACGAAGGCUAGGGGCGCGAACCGGAUUAGAUACCCCCGUAGU
rnacentral:rRNA from 1 species